UACGUAGGGGGCAAGCGUUGUCCGGAUUUAUUGGGCGUAAAGAGCGUGUAGGCGGCCAUGUAGGUCCGUUGUGAAAACUCGAGGCUCAACCUCGAGACGCCGACGGAAACCAUGUGGCUAGAGUCCGGAAGAGGAGAGUGGAAUUCCUGGUGUAGCGGUGAAAUGCGCAGAUAUCAGGAAGAACACCCGUGGCGAAGGCGGCUCUCUGGAACGCAACUGACGCUGAGACGCGAAAGCGUGGGGAGCAAACAGG
rnacentral:rRNA from 1 species